ensembl:lncRNA
AGCGUAGGCUGUGCCACUGUCUGUUUUUAUUUGUAGUGAUAUACCCAUAACCGCAAAGCAACCACUGAGAUGCCUUUCUACAUGCACAGCCUUUCCUCCGGGUUGAGCGGUGGCCCACAUAAGAUGGCUAUAUGUACCUAUAGACACGUGCUGGGCCGGGUCAGUGCCCCGUAACAAAGGUCGCAACGACUCUAAGGGUUCGUUUGGGAUGCCCACCACAGGGCGCAGCCACUGCCUCCCCUGGGUUCUCAGUCUCCAAAAGUCCGUGACAGGACCCCCAUCACCUUCCCAGGACCCCCAUAGCCCACCAACGAGGAACCCCACAGCA